UGUAUAUAACCCACGUUGCUGUAUUGAUGAUUCUUCACACUAAGUGAAUUUAUUCAUUGAUUGAGAGACUGGAGACUCGAAAUCUACGUUGUUCAACUUCUUUACCAUUGUGAGAAAUUCAACAAAUUUUCAAGAUGCCAAAUCCAUGCGAUUGCAAGACAACUGGAAACUGUAUCUGUGCUAGCCAGGAGUGUCCAGAUGGCUGCAAAAACUGCAGCUGCGGCUCUGGAUGCGAGUGCAAGGAAGGCGGAUCAUGCGCAUGCAAGGGUGCUGCUGACUGCUGUCAAGGAUCUGCAUGCAAGUGUGGGCCAGAAUGCAAGUGCCCUGCUGGCUGUGCCUGCUGCAACUAGGCUGUGUGUACCGUAGGCCUAGCCUGCAUCAAAAUUCAGUAUGUCAACAGUGAACCAUCCAUCCAAUUGCAACUGGUCUACCAGUUUGUUACCAUGGAGACGUGCACUAUUUCACUCACUGAGAAUCUAUAGCCAUGAAAAUGUAUUGACCUUUUGACUGCUGAAUUCAAAUUCGCAUAUUUUUUAUAGUACACAGUGUAGCACGAACAGUAAUGUUAUGUAAUCCCAAAGAUUUGUAUCCUUGCCACUAUUUUUUUUAAUGAAUCAUUAAUACCAAUGGUGGACAUUUGAACAACUGUAUUUCUUUUGUAUAUAAUCCGGAAUAAAGUCUUAGAUAUUUCAGUA